UUAAGGGACUUAUACUAGAUUAGGCUCGAAUCUAAGGGCUGAAUUGAAAAUCCACCAAAGAGAUAAGAAAUCCCCAAUUUCUUCUCCCGUGUGUGCUUCCUGGCCACUGGUAACUGCCGCCGCUCAGUGCGAACCGGCCGGUAGUUGCGCCACCGCCGCUGCUUGGGAAGCGAGGCCGUGUCGCACAGCGCCUGAGGGCACCGCCAUGCGCAGGAAACUGUGCCGCACCGGAGUACGUUGGCCGCCCACUCGCGUCGAGCGCCGAUGAUCUUCGGGUGCGGUUGCAGCGCCUUAGGUGGUCACUCGGACGAGCGCUGGAGGAUGCCGCUGGGAAGGCCGGGGGCCUCUAGCCCCAGGUGCCCUCGUGCCAGGGGAAGCAGCGUCGGGCCGGCGUUGAGAACUUCGGCGUGGAGGUUAGUGCGUCUUGUGUGCAAGAGCAAAAAGAAUGGAAUAUGGUCACCUGAUGAUGUAGCAAUUAAGAUCGAGAGUUUGGUGUUUGUAUAAAUUAAUGCUUCAUCGUCUUGGAGAAGGGGCGGCCCAGAUCCUCGUUAUUUUUCAUGUGAUCCCCUUUUCUCUUCUUCUGUUCUUGGCCGAACUUGGUGUUUCGUCUGUGAGGACGAUUUUUCUCCUCAAUCCUCUGUCUUCUUUUUGGCAGUUAUUGGUAUGGAUUUUCGAUCGAGUGAUCCUGGAUGCCAACGCCCAUAUCCUUUUCUAGUGUGUUCGAGGCUUCCAAUUCUUGAAUCGAUGGAGGCUGGCGCUGCGUUCUUCCAUCGGUUCUUCUUUCUUUGUAGUUCACGAUUGAUCAAUUCUUCGUGAGAUUCGUGUGAGCGCAUAUACAUACAGGAGAAAAACAAUUCAUUGUUAGAUUAUUAAUUGAUGAUUGCAAGAAGACAAGAUCAAUCAAUCAAUCUCCCUGAUUAGUUUCUUUCCUUUUUGUACGAGGAACAUCUCGUCUUCGCCGUGAAUCGCGUGGUGGCCGAAACUCUAGUAGCCAACUUCUCCAGACUUCUCCAGUCAUCGUCUGCGGCAAUUGCAGAUCGCCGGAGUGGCCUCCUCUGGCCAUAGAGAGGCCUUGCCGUUUGCCGCCGCUGUCGUCGGCAGUCAUGUGGCGGAUUGAAGCGCCGGAGGGCGCCGCUUCGACGCGCCUACAGAGGAGGGCGUCGUCAACCAUGGGGUGCCUCAGCCGCCUGCAUCGCGCGCUGGUGCUGCGCCGCUGGAGCGCUGUCGAGGCCGAGGGUCCUCGUGUCCUUGGGGCCGGAGGGAGGGUCAGGGACGGUGGAGCCGUCGAGUUCUUGGCCUAAUUGCUCUCUGGAAGAGGCGUGCGUGAUAACGUGUUUAGAGAGAAUCGAGAGAGAGGAGCGAAUGGAAAACAGAUAUAUGAAUGAACAGUUAUUCUAUUGAUUGAA